CCUACGGGUGGCAGCAGUCGAGAAUCAUUCACAAUGGGGGAAACACUGAUGGUGCGACGCCGCGUGGGGGAAUGAAGGUCUUCGGAUUGUAAACCCCUGUCAUGUGGGAGCAAAUACAAAAGAUAGUACCACAAGAGGAAGAGACGGCUAACUCUGUGCCAGCAGCCGCGGUAAUACAGAGGUCUCAAGCGGUGUUCGGAAUCACUGGGCUUAAAGCGUGCGUAGGCUGUUUCGUAAGUCGUGUGUGAAAGGCGCGGGCUCAACCCGCGGACGGCACAUGAUACUGGGAGACUAGAGUAAUGGAGGGGGAACCGGAAUGCUCGGUGUAGCAGUGAAAUGCGUAGAUAUCGAGAGGAACACUCGUGGCGAAGGCGGGUUCCUGGACAUUAACUGACGCUGAGGCACGAAGGCCAGGGGAGCGAAAGGGAUUAGAUACCCGGGUAGUC
rnacentral:rRNA from 1 species